rnacentral:rRNA from 1 species
CAUAAGCCAGCUUGACUGCGAGCGUGACGGCGCGAGCAGGUGCGAAAGCAGGUCAUAGUGAUCCGGUGGUUCUGAAUGGAAGGGCCAUCGCUCAACGGAUAAAAGGUACUCCGGGGAUAACAGGCUGAUACCGCCCAAGAGUUCAUAUCGACGGCGGUGUUUGGCACCUCGAUGUCGGCUCAUCACAUCCUGGGGCUGAAGUAGGUCCCAAGGGUAUGGCUGUUCGCCAUUUAAAGUGGUACGCGAGCUGGGUUUAGAACGUCGUGAGACAGUUCGGUCCCUAUCUGCCGUGGGCGCUGGAGAACUGAGGGGGGCUGCUCCUAGUACGAGAGGACCGGAGUGGACGCAUCACUGGUGUUCGGGUUGUCAUGCCAAUGGCACUGCCCGGUAGCUACAUGCGGAAGAGAUAAGUGCUGAAAGC